rnacentral:siRNA from 1 species
CUCGAUUCACCAGGACCGCUUGAU